GUCCAGAUGGCAGAGAAUAUGCUCCCCAAUUCAAUUGAGUGGGCUGUCUCUGUUGCUGGCAUUCCACAAUCCAUCACUGAGUGUGUCAAACAGAUCUGAGUGGUCAUGCUGGUGUCCCCCAUGAAGGGUGUGACCAUCCCAAGCCUUUAAGUUCUCCAGUCAUCUUUACAAGUGGUCAGGACAGGUACAGCACAGGCAGUGACAGGGAGGAGUUUCCCCAUAUCACCCCAUCCAUGUUCCUCAGCCCUGACCUGGAGGAACAUCUCAGGAGGCCUACACCAUUCAAGAACAGUAUGACCCUCCACAUCCAGUUGGCAAUGCAAUAGUCUGAUUUUCCUGUGGCAUGUGGCAAUAAUACAUUCAGUGACAUUGAAUUCAGCUCUCAAGAGGUGAGAGGCUAUUGGGGAUUUGGAUGCAUCUGCUCAGACUAUUUCUCAAGAAGUCACCGUUCCAGAUGAUUUGACUGGCUGUAUCGUUGAGCAUUA
rnacentral:lncRNA from 1 species